AUGAACGCUGGCGGCGUGCUUAACACAUGCAAGUCGAACGAUGAAGCCUAGCUUGCUGGGUGGAUUAGUGGCGAACGGGUGAGUAACACGUGAGUAACCUGCCCCUGACUCUGGGAUAAGCCCGGGAAACUGGGUCUAAUACUGGAUAUGACCUGUCACCGCAUGGUGGUGGGUGGAAAGAUUUUUUGGUUGGGGAUGGACUCGCGGCCUAUCAGCUUGCUGGUGAGGUAGUGGCUCACCAAGGCGACGACGGGUAGCCGGCCUGAGAGGGUGACCGGCCACACUGGGACUGAGACACGGCCCAGACUCCUACGGGAGGCAGCAGUGGGGAAUAUUGCACAAUGGGCGCAAGCCUGAUGCAGCGACGCCGCGUGAGGGAUGACGGCCUUCGGGUUGUAAACCUCUUUCAGUAGGGAAGAAGCCUUUGGGUGACGGUACCUGCAGAAGAAGCGCCGGCUAACUACGUGCCAGCAGCCGCGGUAAUACGUAGGGCGCAAGCGUUAUCCGGAUUUAUUGGGCGUAAAGAGCUCGUAGGCGGUUUGUCGCGUCUGCCGUGAAAGUCCGGGGCUUAACUCCGGAUCUGCGGUGGGUACGGGCAGACUAGAGUGCAGUAGGGGAGACUGGAAUUCCUGGUGUAGCGGUGAAAUGCGCAGAUAUCAGGAGGAACACCGAUGGCGAAGGCAGGUCUCUGGGCUGUAACUGACGCUGAGGAGCGAAAGCAUGGGGAGCGAACAGGAUUAGAUACCCUGGUAGUCCAUGCCGUAAACGUUGGGCACUAGGUGUGGGGGACAUUCCACGUUUUCCGCGCCGUAGCUAACGCAUUAAGUGCCCCGCCUGGGGAGUACGGCCGCAAGGCUAAAACUCAAAGGAAUUGACGGGGGCCCGCACAAGCGGCGGAGCAUGCGGAUUAAUUCGAUGCAACGCGAAGAACCUUACCAAGGCUUGACAUGGACUGGAUCGCCGCAGAGAUGUGGUUUCCCUUCGGGGCUGGUUCACAGGUGGUGCAUGGUUGUCGUCAGCUCGUGUCGUGAGAUGUUGGGUUAAGUCCCGCAACGAGCGCAACCCUCGUUCCAUGUUGCCAGCGGGUUAUGCCGGGGACUCAUGGGAGACUGCCGGGGUCAACUCGGAGGAAGGUGAGGACGACGUCAAAUCAUCAUGCCCCUUAUGUCUUGGGCUUCACGCAUGCUACAAUGGCCGGUACAAAGGGUUGCGAUACUGUGAGGUGGAGCUAAUCCCAAAAAGCCGGUCUCAGUUCGGAUUGGGGUCUGCAACUCGACCCCAUAAAGUCGGAGUCGCUAGUAAUCGCAGAUCAGCAACGCUGCGGUGAAUACGUUCCCGGGCCUUGUACUCACCGC
rnacentral:rRNA from 1 species